rnacentral:lncRNA from 1 species
AAAUAUACCCAAAAAAAGUAAAGUUCCAGUAAAAAUACAGUUCCAGGGCACCACUUAACAUAUAAUUUCUAUGUGAUUAAGAUAAUCAAAUACUUAAUAGAUAAUUGCUUAUCUGAGGGUGCAAUAGCUAAAAAACUGCAGCAAUUUUUACUGCAGGGAUUAACUAAAGCCUUUGAUUCAUAUAUUUCAUCCGUCCCUAAUUCUUCAGUCAUUAGCUGAAAAAAUUAACCUAAUAUACAGACAGAUCAGAACUUAACACCAUCAAAAUCAAAAAUUUAACGCACAACACACAACUAUAGACACAAGUGCUGGCGUGAACAAGAUAUCUGCAUAUACAUAUAUAUAUGUCUGUGGCAUGCAUGCGCGAGCCUUCAUGUAUGAACAAGCGUAUUACGUAUAUACCAAGAUAGAGGAGUUUUUGAGCGGUUUCAUUGGGAUCCAUACUGCACUCCUUGAGCAUUGCAUAAAUAUCCUCAUCGCUGUGCUCUCCGGCUAUCUCCUUGAUGUCCUGGAUCGUCUUCUUCAGAUUGUUAGGAAUCGAAACCCUAGAAGCGCCGCUCAUUGUUUCUCCAACGAAUGCAAGGCCGAAAUCGAUAAAAUUAACAAUUGUAAGAUCACAAAACGGAAAAAUCAAUUAUGAAAUCGACAUUAUUGUUACGAAUGCAGAGAAGCAUGAACAGUGAAGCGAGCAGAGAGAGACGGAGGAGAGGAUUGUAUGACACAAAUAGGGGAUUUUGAGAGAGAAAAUAGGGACUGACUACGCAUGGAAAGAUUUUGAAUUGAAUAUUUAAGUAAUGGAGGAUCGACAAAUUCAUCGCUAUGGUGUUGCGGAAAUUGGAAAAAGGAGUAGAG